rnacentral:lncRNA from 1 species
UUAAAAAAAUAUAUGAAUACAUUCAUGGAAUAUAUCGAGACAAUGAAUACAAUGAAAUACAUAAAAUAUAACGAGAUACAUUGAAAUACCAUAAAACGACAAUGAAUACAGUGAAAUAUGCGAGAUACAUUGAAAAUAUUAACAGAAAAUUCAAGUUGCUCAGCCCCCAACUCCGUCAUCUUUGUUCAAGAACAACCCUAAUGUCGUCUCGUUGAAGCAGUAUCAAUAUCCAGUCCUCGCUCGUCGUCAUCGCUGCCUCCGGUUGCCGACGAUUAACAUGUAAUAACCGGCAAAAUAUACAACAUAAAAUACAUGUUUGGUAGUAGAUCUUGAAGCUAAAGGACUAAUUAGACCAACUCCAAUCUUGAACAGAAAUAAAAGCUAAUGUUACUGCUAAAAUUGCAUGAAUUGUUAAAACCAAACGGUUGCAAAAAUCAAAAGAAUGAGUUGGAAAUAAUUUUCUUGUUAAUAAAAAUAAUGGUGUUCAUGAUACAACUCCAAAUACUAUCAAAUUUAUGAUUGACUCAUCCAUCGGGCAGAAAAUUUUAGUAGUAGAUCUUGAAGCCAAAGGACUAAUUGCUUCAGUGAUGGUGACGGUGACAAUUGCUCCAGUGUCCGGAGGAGGGAAGACAUCGGAAAGAAGAGAGAGGGAGAAUAGAUAUGGGAUAGAGGAUAGGAGAAAUUUGAGGGGAUAUGAGGAGAAAAAUAAUACAGAGCUUAUUU